UACGGAGGGGGCUAGCGUUGUUCGGAAUUACUGGGCGUAAAGCGCACGUAGGCGGAUUGGAAAGUUGGGGGUGAAAUCCCGGGGCUCAACCCGGGAACUGCCUUCAAAACUCCCAGUCUGGAGGUCGAGAGAGGUGAGUGGAAUUCCGAGUGUAGAGGUGAAAUUCGUAGAUAUUCGGAGGAACACCAGUGGCGAAGGCGGCUCACUGGCUCGAUACUGACGCUGAGGUGCGAAAGCGUGGGGAGCAAACAGG
rnacentral:rRNA from 1 species